rnacentral:rRNA from 1 species
AAAAGCGGAGGAAAAGAAACCAACAGGGAUUGCCUCAGUAGCGGCGAGUGAAGCGGCAAGAGCUCAGAUUUGAAAUCUCACCUAGUGUGCGAGUUGUAAAUUGCAGGUUGGAGUCUCGGGUUAGACGUGUGUGCAAGUCCCUUGGAACAGGGUGCCACUGAGGGUGAGAGCCCCGUAKCGUGCAUGUCGAYACCUGUGAGGCCCUUCUGACGAGUCGAGUUGUUUGGGAAUGCAGCUCUAAGUGGGUGGUAAAUUCCAUCUAAGGCUAAAUAUUGGCGAGAGACCGAUAGCGAACAAGUACUGUGAAGGAAAGAUGAAAAGCACUUUGAAAAGAGAGUGAAACAGCACGUGAAAUUGUUGAAAGGGAAGGGUAUUGGGCUCGACAUGGGAUUUACGCAUCGUUGCCUCUCGUGGGCGGCGCUCUGGGUUUUUCCUGGGCCAGCAUCGGUUUUCGUUGCAGGAUAAGGACAAUUGGAAUGUGGCUCCUCGGAGUGUUAUAGCCUUUUGUAGAUGCUGCGUAUGGGGACCGAGGGCUGCGGCGGACUCGUUUCGUCUCGGAUGCUGGCACAACGGCGCAAUACCGCCCGUCUUGAAACACGGACCCA